AUUGAACGCUGGCGGCAGGCCUAACACAUGCAAGUCGAGCGGAUGAAGGGAGCUGGCUCCUGGAUUCAGCGGCGGACGGGUGAGUAAUGCCUAGGAAUCUGCCUGGUAGUGGGGGAUAACGUCCGGAAACGGGCGCUAAUACCGCAUACGUCCUGAGGGAGAAAGUGGGGGAUCUUCGGACCUCACGCUAUCAGAUGAGCCUAGGUCGGAUUAGCUAGUUGGUGGGGUAAAGGCCUACCAAGGCGACGAUCCGUAACUGGUCUGAGAGGAUGAUCAGUCACACUGGAACUGAGACACGGUCCAGCCUCCUACGGGAGGCAGCAGUGGGGAAUAUUGGACAAUGGGCGAAAGCCUGAUCCAGCCAUGCCGCGUGUGUGAAGAAGGUCUUCGGAUUGUAAAGCACUUUAAGUUGGGAGGAAGGGCAGUAAGUUAAUACCUUGCUGUUUUGACGUUACCAACAGAAUAAGCACCGGCUAACUUCGUG
rnacentral:rRNA from 1 species